AACGAACGCUGGCGGCAGGCUUAACACAUGCAAGUCGAACGCAUCCUUCGGGGUGAGUGGCAGACGGGUGAGUAACGCGUGGGAACGUGCCCUUCAGUUCGGGAUAACCAGGGAAACUUGGGCUAAUACCGGAUACGUGCGAGAGCAGAAAGAUUUAUCGCUGAAGGAGCGGGCCGCGUCUGAUUAGCUAGUUGGUGGGGUAAUGGCCCACCAAGGCGACGAUCAGUAGCUGGUCUGAGAGGAUGAUCAGCCACAUUGGGACUGAGACACGGCCCAAACUCCUACGGGAGGCAGCAGUGGGGAAUAUUGGACAAUGGGCGCAAGCCUGAUCCAGCCAUGCCGCGUGAGUGAUGAAGGCCUUAGGGUUGUAAAGCUCUUUCGUCCGGGACGAUAAUGACGGUACCGGAAGAAGAAGCCCCAGCUAACUUCGUGCCAGCAGCCGCCGUAA
rnacentral:rRNA from 1 species